CGAGAAAAAUGGAAUUUAUUUAAAUUGAAUAUUUUGUAUUUAAUGUUAAAAAUUCUGGGUAAAUAUUCGAAUCAAUUGACUUUUCUUUCAAUACAAACGAAAUAAUUUUGAUUUUGAAAGUAAUCACAAUAAUUUCAAAUAUUUGUGCAUUCAUACGGAGAAUAAAUAAUUUUUCUUUUAGCGUGAAUGUUUAAAUAUUUGAAAUAAAUACCUCAGCUUUUGAAUCAAAGAUAAUAUAUGUUAAAAAUAACAAUUAUACAUUGAAAAUGAAAAACUACACAUUUAUAUUAAAUGUGCAACGUUGUGUUGUCAAAAAUAAAAUUUUACUUUUGAUUUAAAAGUACUGUUUUAUGAAAUCAAAUGCAACAAGCAUUUAUUUAAUGGGUAAAAUUUAAUAUUGACAUUUUUGUUUACGUCUUAAUAUUAUCUGUAUUUAUUUCAAAUGAAAAAGACUUUUUAAACAAUUGUUUCAAAAUUUUAUUUCAAAUGAUUUUUUUUUCUAUCUAAACAUUAAAUGACCAGGUAUUAAAUUGAAUUGUGAGAAACUUUUCUGUAUAAAAUAUGCAUUUCAUUUAAAUGUAAAAAUGAAAUAACUUUGAGUAAAUAUUUGAUACGAAUGGUUUUUGUCGUUAAAUAUAAAUAACAGUGGUUUUUACAUUUACUGCAGUCGUCAUAAUUUGAAAAAUUAUUCAUUUAAAUUAGGGUGAAAAUUAAAUUCCUUUCAUCAUAAAUAUCAAUACGUUUUAAGUGAAUAACUACUUAUUCUAAUCGAAUACAAUAUGUAAAAAUAAUUACAUUUUAUUAUUUAAACUUAAACUUUAGCCAAAUGAAACAACAUGUCAUUUGCAACUAAUUUCACAUUUUCGUAAAAACCCUCUUUUUCUCAUAAGUUCGUAAAACUACAGCUAGGGGUGCUAUAAUUAAAAAGAAAACUUUCCAAUUUUCUAAGUUAAUUAGCUCCGGCUCUAUAGCACGGAUCGGGCUGAAAUUUUGGUAGAGGGAGCGGAUUGAGCUAAAAAUUCUUCAUGAAUCUCUCUUAAACAUGCCUAAGAAACUUACUUAUGUUAUAAAGAAUAAGGUAAAUACCAAUUAUUAAAGCAUUCUUAUUGAUUAGGUUUUUUAAAUUUUCAUUUUAAAAAAAUUGAAUGAAUUUCGCUCUAAAUCAUCCAAAAAUUUAAUAUUUGGCUGGCGUACACGCACGAACGCAAAUGCACGAGGGUCAGUGUAUUGUGUUCUUCAAAUGACGUGAUUUGCAUAAAAUAAAUAAUAUUACUUUCUAUAUGCAUUGAUUAUAACAAUUAAUAAUUUGAAUGAAAUUUAUAUUUAUUUAGAAUGAAAAACCAAUCAAAUCUAAUACUAUUUUUUGAAUCAAUAGCAUAAGUAUUUGAAAAAAAGGAAACUACAUUCAGAUCUAUGACUGAUUCCAUCAGUACGGAAAACAUUAAAACGAGUCAGUCUUGAAGAAGCCGCUGAGUUGAAAAGUUGUCACACAAAUUAUUUCCAAUCUAUUUGAAAAUGAAAAAAAACUAAAAAAUGGUUACAGUGGAUAAGUAAACUUAUAAAGUUGCAAAAAUCAUCAAGUGAUCGACAAAGAAAUUUGAUAAAGUGUUGGAAAUCGUUAGAUUGGGUAAGUAAAAAAAUGUUUGCCAGAAAAGUAUUAACCAUAUUCGGUAAAUUAAAUUAAAUUUAUUUCUUCUUUUAAGCUAAAAUGGAAUGUCAAACUUUUUAUUAUUUUAUUUAAAUUUAAAAUUCGUCGUAAGAAUUUUUUAUUAUUUAAUAUUUUACUAACGAUUUGUAAUUUUCGAUAUUGUUCAAGUUCAAUCGAUCAUCCUGAUUGCAAGUCAUUGUUGAUUGGAAACGUCCGUGAGCAGAAGCUGGAAAAUUAUCACCAUAUCUGUUUUAUCGAACUACUUUUCUUCAAAAAUUCCAUCUAGGAGAGACCUAAAUAGUAUCAAGGACAAUCAUUGUCUUUUCCAUGGAAUUGGAAAAGUGAUUCGCAGAUAGCAGCAGAACUCAGAGCAAACAGUAAAGGACGUAAAUCUGCAAAACACAACUUAGAAAAGUGAGCGCUGUAAUAAAAGUAGACGAGGAGCACUACCACUGAUCAAAUUUCAUUAUGUCAUCGUUUAUCUUUACGGGGCAAAAGACAAUCAGUCUUUUGAAGUAUCUUAUUUCUUCUGAAACUGGUAAACACUAUUGGGAGAAAGCAGAAGAGCAUACAUCCAAAAGCUGAGAAGAAGACUUCACGAAACUACUAGAAAGUCGUGCAACACCCCAUAGAAAUUAAUGUAAUACAAUUUUAUUGUGAAUACACAUUAUUUAUGUCAAAUAAAUUUAUUUUUGAAAUCAUAGCAAGAGUUUUUUAAAUAUACCCUGGUACUGUUAUAUCUACCCGAGGAUAUUAUUUGAAUUAAUGUGGACGAAUAUCAAAGCAAACAUAUUUGCCAUUGAAUCUAUGGUAAAGAACAUUUAAAUAUACCAAGGAAAUUUUUAAUUUUACCCAUUGUGUAUUUAAAUUAAUGGUAACUCGUAGUUAAAACAAAUAUUUCUACUAUUGAAACUAUGGUAGUGUUACCCAGAAAUUUUUGAUUCUACCCAUGAAAGUGUUUAAAAUCCACUUUAGAAAUAAAGUGCAAAUGUAUUUGAUUUAAAAGACAUGUUUUCUUUUCAAAUACAGUGCCAUUCAAAAUAAAUACAAAUAUAUUUGUUGUGGCUAUGAUUACUGCCUUUCAGAUCAAAUGUAAAAAUAUUUGAAGUAAAAGUCGUCUGUAUUCAAAUCAAAUAAAACAUUAGAAACAAAUGUAUUCUACCAUUGGGGCCAAAAUACCCAUAAUUUCAUUUGAUUUUACCCAGAAAAACAUUAAUACUACCCAUAAAAUUUUUCUCGGUG